rnacentral:rRNA from 1 species
AACCUUUACACUGCACGCCAGUGCGAUAAGGGGAUCCCGAGUACGCAGGCAUAGAGCCUGCGCUUUUCUGAACCGUAGGAAGGUUCAGGAACAAGAGCUGGGCAAGACCGGUGCCAGCCGCCGCGGUAAUACCGGCAGCUCGAGUGAUGGCCGAUCUUAUUGGGCCUAAAGCGUCCGUAGCUGGCCUUGCAAGUCCGUCGGGAAAUCCACCCGCUCAACGGGUGGGCGUCCGGCGGAAACUGCAAGGCUUGGGACCGGGAGGCUUGAAGGGUACGUCCGGGGUAGGAGUGAAAUCCCGUAAUCCUGGAUGGACCGCCGAUGGGGAAACCACUUCAAGAGAACGGAUCCGACAGUGAGGGACGAAAGCUAGGGUCUCGAACCGGAUUAGAUACCCGGGUAGUCCUAGCUGUAAACGAUGCCUGUUAGGUGUGACUCCCACUACGAGUGGGUGUUGUGCCGUAGGGAAGCCGCUAAACAGGCCGCCUGGGAAGUACGUCUGCAAGGAUGAAACUUAA